rnacentral:lncRNA from 1 species
CGCCGCCCUUGCCGCCUCAGGAGCGGCGGGGAGCGGCUGUGGGGCCGCGCGGGGUGUGUGCGCCUGGCUGUGAGCGUGUGUGUGUGUGUGUGUGUGUGUGCAGCGGGCAGCCAUGCGGCGCUGGGGGCUCCUUCUCUUGCCGGCGCUCCUCGCCGGCCUGGGCUCCGUCACAGGCCAAGAUGACUUCUCUUUAGAUGAAGCACUUUUGGAAGAAAAUACAAAGAAGCCUCCUGUAACUCAGAAGACACCAUCAUCAGGUGCAGAUGAUUUUGAUUUGUCCGAGGCGCUUGAUUUUGGUGAUCCCAUGCCACAUCCUUCUGCAAAUCCUAGAGACACUGAUAACCCCAAGCAAGAUCAACCUAAAGGCUCUGACAAAUUUGAUGAUUCAGAUCUAUGGGAUGGCAGUUCCCCAAGAGGAGGAAGUGAUGGCAGUGGCAGCAAUGAACGGAAGGGUCCAACUCCAAAAACUGGCCAAGAUGAGGAGGCUUCUCAGGGAGCAAUAGCUGGAAUUAUAAGUGCUGUAGGUGCUACAGUAGUUGCAUCGGUAGCUAGUUUCAUUGCUUACCAGAAGAAGAAACUCUGUUUCAAGCAAAGCGGUAAGAGCUCCAAAUUAGUUUUGUUUCCUACUGUCUUAAGAGAGGCAUUUUUGUAUUUAUAUGUGGACUAUAAAUUGAUCCUAUGCACAAGGUAGUUGUAAUAACCCAGUGAAGUUAGGUUUACAGGGAGUAACCUUUCCCACUAGUCAUCUAAGACUGAUGAAUUCCUUGCCCACAAACUUAUUUUUCUGGCUAAAAAUAAGCAGGAGAGACUGCAAAAAAUACUUUUUAAGGAGAAUCAAGUGAAGGUUGGGAUUAGAGAUUUUUCAUGCCGAA